rnacentral:rRNA from 1 species
GACAUAGGUGGCGAACGUUAUCCGGAAUUAUUGGGCGUAAAGGGUGCGUAGGUGGUUUAAUAAGUUACUGGUGGUAAAUCGGGGCUCAACCUCGUGGAAGUCAGUAAUACUAUUAGACUAGAGGACCGGAGGAGUUAACGGAAUGGCUCAUGUAGGGGUAAAAUCCGCAAAUAUGAGUUAGAACACCAAUUGGCGAAGGCAGUUAACUAUUCGGUUCCUGACGUUGAGGCACGAAAGCGUGGGAGCAAGACGG